AUCAUGGUUUUAGGUUUCCAACGAAUAUUUUAAUAGAAGAUGAAUGGGUAGCUGCUUUACGACUGACCCGAAAUGAACUACAACGACAGCCAUCCUCAUCUAGUUGGACCUACCGGAUGAGUCUAAAUCGAGCCUUAACCAAGAUUCAAUCUUUGAUACACCUAGAAAACAUAAACUAAGAGAUAAAUUAAAAAAACAGGAACUUAAUUUAAAAAAAAAAUGUAAAAAUAAAAUCAAUUUAUUACAGCAAAGAGUUAGACGUCUUUAAAGCAGGAACUUGCCCCUCAGAGGUAUCAUCAAUUACUUAAAAACGCAAGUUUUCAUUGACACAGAUUUAUAUAAUUAAAUAAAUCAAAACACGGCUACAAUAGAUUUAUGUAAC
rnacentral:misc_RNA from 1 species